rnacentral:rRNA from 1 species
CCAAGGAGUGUGGCACACAUGCAAGUUGGAGAACAUUACUAAAUUCGACGGCGCAAUGAAAGUAAAGAUCGGUUUCUAUCGGUUUAGGCGAGAUCUAGUGUCCCCGCGACAUUAGCGCAUCGCUGGCCCGUCUUGAUCUCGACGUAGAUGAGGCGGAGCACGAGCAUGUGUGCCGCGACCCGAAAGAUGGUGAACUAUGCUUGAGUAGGACGAAGCCAGAGGAAACUCUGGUGGAGGUCCGUAGCGAUUCUGACGUGCAAAUCGAUCGUCAAACUUGAGUAUAGGGGCGAAAGACUAAUCGAACCAUCUA